AUUGAACGCUGGCGGCAGGCCUAACACAUGCCAGUCGAGCGGAUGAAGGGAGCUUGCUCCUGGAUUCAGCGGCGGACGGGUGAGUAAUGCCUAGGAAUCUGCCUGGUAGUGGGGGAUAACGUCCGGAAACGGGCGCUAAUACCGCAUACGUCCUGAGGGAGAAAGUGGGGGAUCUUCGGACCUCACGCUAUCAGAUGAGCCUAGGUCGGAUUAGCUAGUUGGUGGGGUAAAGGCCUACCAAGGCGACGAUCCGUAACUGGUCUGAGAGGAUGAUCAGUCAGACUGGAACUGAGAAACGGUCCAGACUCCUACGGGAGGCAGCAGUGGGGAAUAUUGGACAAUGGGCGAAAGCCUGAUCCAGCCAUGCCGCGUGUGUGAAGAAGGUCUUCGGAUUGUAAAGCACUUUAAGUUGGGAGGAAGGGCAGUAAGUUAAUACCUUGCUGUUUUGACGUUACCAACAGAUUAAGCACCGGCUAACUUCGUG
rnacentral:rRNA from 1 species